CUCUCCCAAGUUACUAAUGAACUCUUAAAUGACUAAUCUAAUGCCUUUUCUCAAUCCCCAUCCUGCUUGAUUUCUAUGUAGCUUUUGAUAUGACCACUGGCUUCUCCUCAGAUUACUCUCUUCAGUUUUUGUGAUACUAUGUUCUUGGCUUUCCUCCUAUCUAUCUGACUUCUUUUUAGCUGAAUCUUUUAUCUAGGUCUUGACUGCUAACUGUGAAUGUCCCAGGAGGCUCUACCAUGGACUCUUUUGUCUUCUCCUCCAUACUUUUUCAUUUUUUGGUAUUCAUCAACUCCCACUGAUGGGUUCAAUUAUCAUUUCUAGUAAUAUAAUUCUUAAAUCUAUUGACUAGCCCUAAUCUCUCUACUGACCUACAAUCCCACACCUUAAACUGCCUAUGAAAUACCUAUAGACAACUUAAAUUCAACAUAUACAAAACUAAGCUAAUUAUCUUGCCUCCCUCUCCCCAAAACGUCUUCCUUCUAUAUUCCCUAUUGCUGUUAAAAGCAUCAUCAGGGUCACAAUCUGGCUGUCAUCCUCUACACCACCCCCACAUCACAAUAUUGUGAAGGACUGCCAGUUCACCUUCCUACAAUCUCUCACAAAGGUCCCUUUCUCUCAUAAGACACUCAUACCAGUCACCUCAUGCUUGGACGAUUGCAAUAAUUUGCUGGUUGAUCUCCUUGCCUCAAUUAUCUCUAUACAAUUCAUCCACUGCUUAGCUGUCAAAAUGAACUUCUUAAACUACAGAUCUGAUGAUAUUGACCCCUCUACUCAAUAAACUCCAAUGGCCCAAUCAAAUAUAAUAUUUUCUUUGAUGUUUAAAGCCCUCAUUAAUCUGCUGGUCGCUGCUUCCUUUCCAGGCUUCUUAUCCAUAAUACUCCUGAAUGUAUUUUGUAUCCAUAACACUGGUCGUUCCUCAAACAGGACAAGAUAUAUCUCGGCUCAGAGCAUUUUCACUGACAAUUUCCAUUCCUGGAAAGAUCUUCCUCCUCUUCUUUACAUCAUGGUUUCCUUGGCUUUCUUCAAGUUCCAGGGAAAAAUACCUGUUGGUUAGAAUGUCAUGAAGUUUCACAUUUUAGGCUUAAUCCUGAAGUAGGGAAACAGCAAUCCUCCCUUCAAUUGAGUGUCCAAGUAGCACUUGUUGAGAGAUGAAUCUUCACAGGUCCAUCCCUACCUGGAUCACAUCCUGGACUGCAAUAUAAGAUGAGGAAAAUUGAAGUCCAAAGAAGCUAAGAGAUUUGCUUAAACUCAUAGGAGAGACAAAUAGCAGAUCUGGAAUCCCAGGACAUCUGGUACCAAAUUUAGUACUUUUUUUACUAUGGUAUAUUGCAAAGGAUCUAGUUUAUGGAAGCAGAAUACACAUUUUACCAAGUACUACUACACUAGAAGGCUUCUAAUAUGGACUAUGGUGUCAUAGAUUUAGAGUUCCCAAUAUAAUGAAUAUUAGGCAUUUAAAGGACCAGUAUAAAUGCAGAGAAGCUCAUCACCACCUGGUGAUCAAAUUUUUAGUCACAAAAACUCAGGAAGACUAAAGGUGUAAAGGGGCUAUGAUUAACACUAAUGAAUGGAAGGAGUUCUCCUAUCAAUGAAGUCCUGGGAUUUCUAAAAUACAAAAUCAGAGUUCUUGUAAUUCUAUGAGGGAUAGAUGGCUGUUUUGUAUUCAAUAAAAUGUAUAA